ACCGCAUACGUCCUACGGGAGAAAGCAGGGGAUCUUCGGACCUUGCGCUAAUAGAUGAGCCUAAGUCGGAUUAGCUAGUUGGUGGGGUAAAGGCCUACCAAGGCGACGAUCUGUAGCGGGUCUGAGAGGAUGAUCCGCCACACUGGGACUGAGACACGGCCCAGACUCCUACGGGAGGCAGCAGUGGGGAAUAUUGGACAAUGGGCGCAAGCCUGAUCCAGCCAUGCCGCGUGUGUGAAGAAGGCCUUAUGGUUGUAAAGCACUUUAAGCGAGGAGGAGGCUACUUUAGUUAAUACCUAGAGAUAGUGGACGUUACUCGCAGAAUAAGCACCGGCUAACUCUGUGCCAGCAGCCGCGGUAAUACAGAGGGUGCAAGCGUUAAUCGGAUUUACUGGGCGUAAAGCGCGCGUAGGCGGCUAAUUAAGUCAAAUGUGAAAUCCCCGAGCUUAACUUGGGAAUUGCAUUCGAUACUGGUUAGCUAGAGUGUGGGAGAGGAUGGUAGAAUUCCAGGUGUAGCGGUGAAAUGCGUAGAGAUCUGGAGGAAUACCGAUGGCGAAGGCAGCCAUCUGGCCUAACACUGACGCUGAGGUGCGAAAGCAUGGGGAGCAAACAGGAUUAGAUACCCUGGUAGUCCAUGCCGUAAACGAUGUCUACUAGCCGUUGGGGCCUUUGAGGCUUUAGUGGCGCAGCUAACGC
rnacentral:rRNA from 1 species